rnacentral:rRNA from 1 species
GUGCAGCAGUCGAGAAUCUUGGGCAAUGCCCGCAAGGGUGACCCAGCGACGCCACGUGGGGGAUGAAGCCCGAAAGGGUGUAAACCCCUUUUGGUGGGGAGCAAGGGUGGUUCUUUUGAGCCACCUUGAGAGUACCCACCGAAUAAGGGCUGGCUAAACUCGCGCCAGCAGCAGCGGUAAUACGAGUGGCCCAAGCGUUCUCCGGAAUUACUGGGCCUAAAGCGUCCGUAGGCGGCCUUGCAAGUUCCUGGUUAAAUCCUGGGGCUCGAACCCCCAGGAAUUGCCGGGGAAGACUGCAAGGCUAGAGGGCGUCAGAGGGUGGCGGAACGCCCGGUGUA